UCAUUAAUGAUCCCUAACCAAACCGCCUCUCUCUCUCUCGCGGCGGCAAACUCCGCCGUCCGCGGCUGAUUCCUCCAGUGCUCUAAACUAGUACGAACUCGGGGCGACCUUGCAACCCAAUGGCGGAGCAGUCGCGAUUCGAAACUCUAAACCCCUCAGAUUCUCUCUUCCCUUUCCCUCCGCACAGAAGAAGAACACCAAUCAAGAGCGAAACCUUAUGCACUCUUGCUCGAAUCCUAUCUCAUUUCAACGGUGGCGAUUCUCAGCAUUCUCUUUCAGGUGAAGUCGUUUCAGUUCAGUCGAAACCAGGCAUAGGUGAGAAUGAAUUGGGACAAGGUCUCGAGCCAGAAGUGCAUCAUGGGACGGUUGGCCCUACCGGUGUGGAGUCUAAAACCUGGUUAACUCAAAGAGAAGCUCAAAGUUUGAAGGAAGUUGUUGUUGAUCAAAGUUUUGAUGGGGACAGAAUGGAAAUAGAUGAGUUUGCACUUCUAAAUGGAGUAAAAGAGAAACACCUGGAAAAGGAUAAUAAAUCUGGGAGCACAUUGGAAGACAACAACCCAUGUGGGAAUUUUGUUUCUUCGAUAGGUGACCAGGAUGGUGAAUGUAAUCUCCUAGAAAUUUGUAUGGAGGAAUCCGGGAAGGAGAUGCAAGAAGUAGACAAGGAGCACCCUAACUGUGACGUCUUUGAAUCUCUUGAUCUGUGCUUAGAUAUAGAUAUUAUUGAUGAACUCCGGAAACUUGAUGAUAAUAAUGCAGAAGGAAGUUCAUAUGUGGAGAGGCAUGUGUUGGAAGAAGUUGGACAUGAAAUGCCGCUUGUGGAACUGGAGAAAUCGGUUUCUAGUUCUGGUGUGAUGAAUUCUCCAUUUUAUUUAGCUGCAGGUGGAGAGAUUGAAGAAGGAGAACUUUCAGGUAAUGUUGGAAUGAACGACCAAUCACCUGAUUUGUUGGUUGAAGAUGCUCUGUCAUUGGAAAAAAAGGUUGAUGAGGAGUCAACUUUUGAAGCCAUUUCUAAUGAGGAACAAGUUCUGGCACUGGAAGGAGCAAAUCAGGAAGAUACCAAGUGUAAUAAGAAGUUUGUGGAGCCAAUUGUUAAUGUGUGUAAUGGGGUACAAUUGACACUCAAGGAUAGUUCCAUGUCAGCGAUGGCGUGUGAUUCUGAGAUGGUUGGUGGGAAAAUUGGAGAUGCAAACAUGGCACAUGGGUAUAACUCCGAGCUAGAAUCUAGGAGAUACAAGAAGCAAGAUAUUAGAACCAGUGACAAGUUCCACUGUCCAGCAGUGUCUGGGAAUGAUGUCUUACUUUGUUACGAUGAUGUCUAUACAGUGGUAUCUGGGGAAAUCUCAGCAGAAAUUGCUACUGAAAAUCAAGGCACUUCAUCCACUAAAAAGAAGGAUGCUGCCGUUCGUGAAAAGAGAAAGCGGGGUCCUUUGACUGAGGAAAAGAAAGAAAAGAAAAAGAAGAAGAAAAGAAUCAAACGAGCAGAAACAAAUAGACGGCUUGGCGUUAAACGGUUGAAAAUCCAGCCCAUAAUGAAACCAAAAACAGUAACCUAUUGUCGUCACUUUCUCAAGGGAAGAUGUCAGGAGGGUGAAAAAUGCAAAUUCUCACAUGAUACAAUACCCUUGACAAAAUCCAUGCCUUGUUGUCAUUUUGCUCGUCACUCAUGCAUGAAAGGAGAUGAUUGUCCAUUUGAUCAUCAACUCUCCAAGUAUCCAUGCAACAAUUUCUCGUCCAAAGGUUAUUGCAGCAGGGGCACCGACUGCAUGUUUUCACAUGAGGUUCAACCCGUGGAAGGAUCCACAAACACUAUAACUCAGUUGAAGUCUCCAACCCUCCUAAGGUCCACGAAUCCUGAGAAGCAAUCAGACACACAUGCUUCCUCUACAAAUCCAGAGAAUCAAUCAAACACUGAGUUGAAGUCUCCAACCCUCCUAAGGUCUACGAAUCCCGACAAGCAAUCAAACACACAUGCUUCUUCUAAUCAGAAGUUUGAUUAUAAAUCCACCUCCAUGUUGAAAAGACCCCCUCCUCGUAGGAGAACAGAACAAAAUGUGGCGGAAAGCGUUGUGAAGCCUGCUGUACAGACACCCAAGGGAAUAAGCAAUCUUAUGUUUGGGGUAUCAAAUCAAGCUGGCUCUUUUCCAAAGGCAGAUGCUGGUGCCAAAUUGGGUCUCCCUCUCAAAACUAAUACACCGGAUAUCGCUCAAAACUCAAAUGAGAAUAGAAGGACGACAGUAAUUCCAGAACCAAAAGGAAUAAACUUCCUAUGUUUUGGGAAAGCUCCUUUACAUGAUUCUAGUAGCAACAAACCAUCUGGUGUUCAAAAAUCAACCGUCGGUGAUUCUAGCACGGAGAAGCAGUCUGUCUUAUAUUCACAGAAUGAUGAUGGUCUCAAAGUAGGAAAUCAGAGCCAAGGCACGAGAACACCGACAGUUGGACCCCGGGGAAUAAACUUUCUUUCAUUUGGCAAAGCUCCAUUAGAUUAUUCUUGUAAUACAAAGCUAGCAAGUGUGCCUUCUAUUGGGAAUAACAGUGGUGUUCUGUCAUCUGUUCAAGAGAGUGGAAGUGCUUCUAAUGGGAGAAACAAUGUUGUACUGUCAUCUGUUCAAGAAAGGGAAAGUGCUUCGAAACUUCAGAUCCCCGGUGCAGAACCAUGGAGAGUACUAUCUUCUCCUUCACCCGUUCAAGAGCGAGAAAAUGGUUCUAAACUUAAGAUCGCUGGAGCAAAACCAUGGAAAAUGUUAUCUUCUUCGCUUCAUUCAGCUAUCUCUAUGGGUCAGACGGCAGAUGAGCAUGGUAAAGAUACACCGAAUUCAUCUCUGAAGGCACUCUUUUCAAACACUCCAAACUCUGCUCAGAAGGGUAAUGUUUCGAACAUGCCGAACUCCGCUCAGAAAUCACUCCAGUCAAUGCUAGCUUUUGCAGCUAAGUACGAGUCUGGAAUUAAGAUGGACACUCCUACUGUAAGUGCAGACUCCGGUAUGGCAAGCAGCAGUUCACAGAGUACAUCAAGGGGGUCAACAAUUUUGGAUUUCUUGAACGGUGGUGGUAGUAAAACCAAGCAAUAAAAGAGAGGAUAUCGUAUGAUUCCGCUCCCCAAUGGUAGAUACAUGUGGUCAUUCUUUUCACAUUUUUUGCUAGCAGCUACCAGGCAAGUGUUUGUUUUCAUGUGUUCGAGAUGGGAACUGUGGUGUUCUUCCAUCAAGUUUACUAACAUUUUCACUACUUUUCAUACUUAGCAGCUGUUCUACAUCUUGCCAAAGAAUUCCUCCUGUAAUUGUUUCGGGAUGUGAGUGUGGAUUACAAAGGUGCAUUUUUCAAAGCGGGCAGCACUUUCACAUUUGGGUUGCCCACUUGAUAUGGCCCAGCUUUUGAUACACGAGUUCGGUCAUCUGUCAGGUGAGAAUAUUCACAUCUUUCUACAUUCUCACUUGGCCGAAAAUGAACUCAUCUGUCAGGUGAGAAUAUUCACAUGUCUCUACAUUCUCACUUGGCCGAAAAUGCACUGGAACAAGCAUUUUUUUGGGACGAAGGAUAUGAGGGAAAAUUCGGGUUUGAUUAUGGGGUCUAGACAUGUGCGACUGGAGUUUUGAGUGCAUAAAAUCAACUGUGUUCGGUUACUAUUUUUUUCCCAUUGGUAAAAGCCAAUUUUGUUCCCAGGUAAAAGCCAUGCUAAGAUGUCAACAUGCUGGGCUAUUUUGGCAAACCCAGGACUGGCUACUUGUCACUGGGCAGGGCACGACUCAAUCAAGCAAAAACUAAAUUUCCUUGGCUGUUUUUCUUCAAUUGCUCGUGCUUUCAAGUCCUGUGGAUAAUGCCCAAAAAGAAGACCGAAAACAACAUCCAGCCUAGCCAAGGCUUGCCCCCGUGGGUAAUGCUCGAAAAGAAGACUGAAAACAUCAUCCAGUCUAGGCCAAGGCAUGGCAAGCCGAUGGUAAAACCCAUGCUAAGAUGUCCACGUGCUGGGCUAUUUUGGCAAACCCAGGACUGGCUGAAACUGUAUAUUCAGACAAUUGUAGAUUAGUUGUCUUUCAACAUUUGUGUUUUCGUUUUCGUUUUCUUCUUGCUUUUUGUGUUUUCGUUUUUUGUUUUUCAUUUAGGUUCGAAUCUCAUCCCCCCUCCCCCCUCGCAAACUGUUGAAAUAUAUGAUUGUUUUCCUUUUGUAC